rnacentral:rRNA from 1 species
UACGGGGGGGGCAAGCGUUGUUCGGAAUUACUGGGCGUAAAGGGCUCGUAGGCGGCCAACUAAGUCAGACGUGAAAUCCCUCGGCUUAGCCGGGGAACUGCAUCUGAUACUGGAUGGCUUGAGUUCGGGAGAGGGAUGCGGAAUUCCAGGUGUAGCGGUGAAAUGCGUAGAUAUCUGGAGGAACACCGGUGGCGAAGGCGGCAUUCUGGACCGACAUUGACGCUGAGGAGCGAAAGCCAGGGGAGCAAACGGG